rnacentral:rRNA from 1 species
CCCUUAGAUGUUCUGGGCCGCACGCGCGCUACACUAAAUACUACUAUACGACCUUUGGCCCUUGUCCGUCAUGGUCAGGGAAAUCGGUCUAAUGUAUAGUUGAAUAUGAUGGGAAUGAACUAUUGUAAUUUGUAGUUCUGAACGAGGAAUUCCUAGUAAUCGCUAGUCAACAACUAGCAAUGAUUACGUCCCUGCCCUUUGUACACACCGCCCGUCGCUACUACUGAUUGGGUGUUUAAGCAAGAUAUUCGGAAACUCGCAGUUUUGGCUUCGGCUGGGACCGUGAGUAGAAGAGAAUCGAGCUUAUCUGCCUAGAGGAAGUAAAANUCGUANCA